CAAAGUUGUUCGUGUUUAUGACGUCGAUAUUCGACGUCAUUAACACCAAAGUUGUUCGUGUUUAUGACGUCGAAUAUCGACGUCAUAAACACCAAAA
rnacentral:miRNA from 1 species